rnacentral:rRNA from 1 species
GAUGAACGCUGGCGGCGUGCUUAACACAUGCAAGUCGAACGGAAAGGCCCAAGCUUGCUUGGGUACUCGAGUGGCGAGCGGGUGAGUAACACGUGGGUGAUCUGCCCUGCACUUCGGGAUAAGCCUGGGAAACUGGGUCUAAUACCGGAUAGGACGAUGGUUUGGAUGCCAUUGUGGAAAGUUUUUUCGGUGUGGGAUGAGCUCGCGGCCUAUCAGCUUGUUGGUGGGGUAAUGGCCUACCAAGGCGUCGACGGGUAGCCGGCCUGAGAGGGUGUACGGCCACAUUGGGACGGAGAGACGGCCCAGACUCCUACGGGAGGCAGCAGUGGGGAAUAUUGCACAAUGGGCGCAAGCCUGAUGCAGCGACGCCGCGUGGGGGAUGACGGCCUUCGGGUUGUAAACUCCUUUCGCUAGGGACGAAGCGUUUUUGUGACGGUACCUGGAGAAGAAGCACCGGCUAACUACGUG